rnacentral:rRNA from 1 species
CAGCCGCCGCGGGAACACGAAGGGGGCUAGCGUUACUCGGAAUGACUGGGCGUAAAGGGCGCGUAGGCGGAUGGCACAGUCAGAUGUGAAAUUCCCGGGCUUAACCUGGGGGCUGCAUUUGAUACGUGUUGUCUAGAGUGAGGAAGAGGGUCGUGGAAUUCCCAGUGUAGAGGUGAAAUUCGUAGAUAUUGGGAAGAACACCGGUGGCGAAGGCGGCGACCUGGUCCUUUACUGACGCUGAGGCGCGAAAGCGUGAGGAGCAAACAGGAUUAGAUACCCCAGUAGUCCCUGUCUCUUAUAC